rnacentral:rRNA from 1 species
GACGAACGCUGGCGGCGUGCCUAAUACAUGCAAGUUGAGCGCUGAAGGUUGGUACUUGUACCAACUGGAUGAGCAGCGAACGGGUGAGUAACGCGUGGGUAAUCUGCCUUUGAGCGGGGGACAACAUUUGGAAACGAAUGCUAAUACCGCAUAAAAACUUUAAACACAAGUUUUAAGUUUGAAAGAUGCAAUUGCAUCACUCAAAGAUGAUCCCGCGUUGUAUUAGCUAGUUGGUGAGGUAAAGGCUCACCAAGGCGAUGAUACAUAGCCGACCUGAGAGGGUGAUCGGCCACAUUGGGACGGAGAAACGGCCCAAAAUCCGACGGGAGGCAGCAGGAGGGAAUCUUCGGCAAUGGACGAAAGUCUGACCGAGCAACGCCGCGGGAGUGAAGAAGGUUUUCGGAUCGUAAAACUCUGUUGGUAGAGAAGAACGUUGGUGAGAGUGGAAAGCUCAUCAAGUGACGGUAACUACACAGAAAGGGACGGCUAACUACGUG